GGCUCAGUAGUUUAACGGGAUAAAACACGGACCUCCUAAGUCUAAGCUCCCGGUUCGAGUCCGGGCUGGGCCA
rfam:Oenococcus kitaharae DSM 17330 chromosome, whole genome shotgun sequence.